rnacentral:rRNA from 1 species
UACGAAGGGUGCAAGCGUUACUCGGAAUUACUGGGCGUAAAGCGUGCGUAGGCGGUUUGUUAAGUCCGUUGUGAAAGCCCUGGGCUCAACCUGGGAAUUGCAGUGGAUACUGGCAAGCUAGAGUACGGUAGAGGAUGGUGGAAUUCCCGGUGUAGCGGUGAAAUGCGUAGAGAUCGGGAGGAACACCCGUGGCGAAGGCGGCCAUCUGGACCAGUACUGACGCUGAGGAGCGAAAGCAUGGGGAGCGAACAGG